rnacentral:snRNA from 1 species
AUCGCUUCUCGGCCUUUUGGCUAAGAUCAAGUGUAGUAUCUGUUCUUAUCAGUUUAAAGUGAACAAAAUGAACACAGAGAUAAGACCCUUUAGACAGUUUCCAUUAUGAGUCAACAGAAUUUGUGAUUCUGGUGAGACCUUUUUUUGGUAACACACCCAAUUGCUCCCUCU